rnacentral:rRNA from 1 species
GCUGGUGCCCUUACCGGCGGACCAACACCUGAUCCCAUUCCGAACUCAGAAGUGAAGCCCGCCGGGUCAAUGGUAGUCUGAAGAGGCGAGAGUAGAUCGGUGCCAGCG